rnacentral:rRNA from 1 species
UACGGAGGGGGCUAGCGUUGUUCGGAAUUACUGGGCGUAAAGCGCACGUAGGCGGCUUUGUAAGUUAGAGGUGAAAGCCCGGGGCUCAACUCCGGAAUUGCCUUUAAGACUGCAUCGCUAGAAUUGUGGAGAGGUAAGUGGAAUUCCGAGUGUAGAGGUGAAAUUCGUAGAUAUUCGGAGGAACACCAGUGGCGAAAGCGACUUUCUGGGACGUUCCUGACGGCUGAGGUUCGAAAGCUCGGGGAGCAAACAGG